GAACAAGAACGCUGGCACCAUCAGGAGAGCUGUCUGGCAUUUUAGGGAGGGAAGAGUGAGAGGCCACAAGAUGAUUGGGUAUGAAAAGUGUUUCCAGAAGGAGCCCUCCGAGGAGAUCCGCUGGUGAAAGCUGAUGUCUAGUAUGGUAGCGGUUAAGUAUGCUGGCACCCGUGACAGCGACAAAGCCUUGCUCUCCUGCUGACAUGUCAAUUCAAUUCUAGCAGGCUCUUCAUUCAUUCAAAGCUAGCGGACGAAAUGCAGUUCCAGUCUGAAGAACGCUCUCAGGUUUCCAGUCUGUGGACUCCUCGCUCCCUUGAACUCUCUUGUGGGUUUUCCUCUGGAAUCGUGCUGCAAAGUCUGCUUACUUCUCCUCUGGUAACUCCCUCCUGGGUCUGCAGACCAGGUCCCACCAUGAAACCAACACCCCUUACCUGCUUUACCAGCCUUGUUGAGUCGUGGUACCAGUGGACCACGACUCCACUGCCGCUUCCUCAGUACCUCCUGGAAUUAGGAAAAUGACAUCUGAAUCAGUCCCACAUGCAUCCAGCCUGCCGAGCUUAACGUGUGUGGAUAUGAUCACCUCUGCCCAAGGAUCCUCAUCCUUUCUGUCCACAAGGAAACCUCUAUUUGUACUCAUAUAACUUAACACAGAUUCUUAUAUUUAUUGGUGAAAAAAUAACUUACCUCUCCUCCCCAGUGCCAUCCUGAAGGAAGCACUCACUUUGAUUAUCACUUCAAUAAAUCAUUUAAACCUUA